rnacentral:lncRNA from 1 species
UAAUCCCAACGAGGCUGAUAAGUUUCGUGAAUAGGAGUUUGCGAGAAUGAGCAAGAGUAGCAAUCAGACCCAGUGCCAUUUGUGAGGUACAAGUUAGCAUAAGUAACGUCCCCAACCAAUAACAUAAGAUCAGGUCCGUUAGCCAACAAGUGAUCGACCGUUGAUGUAGUAUUGUAUGUAAGGCCAAGGUCCCCAACCACAGCUAUUUUUCUGGGGUAACUCUUGGGACCGGAGGCUGGCAUAGUCUUGAAAUAAGAUACUUUGCUCAUAUCUGCAAUGCUAGGAUCUCCACAUUGAUACUGAUACAAAGUGUUGGGUCUCAAUCCUGCACAAACCCUUUAAAAUUCAGAGAACUGCACACAAAAUCAUACAUCCGUAAGUCCAAACAAAAACAAAUUCAGACAAGCGUUCGUGAACAUAAAUGCACGCGUAUCAUUUGAUGAUUUUGUUAAUUUGAUUUCGAAAUCAUGAAUUUUAACUUAUACGGAAUAAAGUUAAACGAUUAAACAAUGGAUACAACUACAUGUUAAGGAGCAGAUCAUAAAACAAUUUCAUAUUUUAGGAUACAAAUUAUUCAUAAAGGGAUUCAAGACUGAUACGUACCUGUGAGACGAACAUGGUGUAUAAUUCCGGAAGUGUAGUUUUGGAGGCCUUCAAACGGAUACAGCUGAUUGUAAAUAAGGGAAUACCCCGUUGAUUGGUUAUCCAUAGGGAAUCCGUACCUUCCAUAUGUAACAAUACUUGAAACAUUAUUCGGGUCCAGCGGUUUUAUAUUGUCUCCAAUUUGAAAUUCCCCUGCAAAUUCGAUCAUGAGAUAGAUUUGAGAGUCUUCAAUUCAUCAUGCAACUACAUAACUCAAUAGUUUUCGUUUACAAAAACAACAAUCAAGUCUUAUCUCACUAAAUAGGGUUAGUUGUAUGAAUUCUAGAAUGUCACUGCGUUCGGUUUUCUGCCAAGUCUUCCGUUGUUACAUAACUCAAUGGUUUUGGUUUACAACAUUAAAGUGCUCAAGUCCACCCCAAAACAUGCCCAUCCAAAGACCAAAAGAAGUAACAUUUCCAUCCAUGAACUGGCAUCAGUCAAUUGAAUUCUAACAGUAAUUAUGAUUUCUGUGUAACCAAACAUUUAUCAAUGCCCCAAAUAGGAAACAGUUAAAAGAUUUUAUUUUUCUCGAAAGGACGAUAUUCUUCUUAUAAUCUAACAUAAACUACGGAAAGAGGUGUUAAAACUCGCAUGCAUGGGUGGAAGUACAUUCACUCUAGCCAACGUGACUACGACAUGAAAUUAACAUAUCCUCGAAACAAUCUCACUAAAAUGUGAAAACCAAAUAUAAAACACAUUUGUUAGAUUAAAAACUCUCAAUCUGCAUAAGAACUUGAAAACAACAUAUCCAACCGAAAGUACAAGGUAAAGAAAGCAAAAGAACAAAAGAACAAAAGCUUGAGAGAGAGAGAGAGACCUGUAAUCCAAGAUAUCCAGACAGAGUCAUGGGUUGUAGAGAGAGAGACAGAGAUUUGUUCGGGCUCGAAACCUUUGACGAUUCUUCGAACUCGAGGAUCAGUGUCCGGCAAGUCAACGGCAUUGCCUCGAAAGCUGUCGUCGAGAGGAACAGUGACAGGCUUAAAGGGUCCUUCGAGGGUUGUCGGUAUUCCUCCAUUGACAAACGUGAAGCUCACGGGACUCACAGUCAGCACAAGCAGCAGAUUAAAGGUUGCAACUUUGGGCGGUGGAAACAAAAACAAACCCAUCUAUUUUUACUAUUAUUAUUGUUUGAAUUAAACAGAACGAAACUCAAAUAUAAAUAGAAGAACUGGACUUAGCUGCUGAAAGAUCAGCAGCAGCAGUUGCUUACGACCAAUCACAACUGGACACAUGUCUAAGUUUUGAUAUUUGCUGCUGAUCUGUUCAGUAGCGAAAUUCUAUCCUGAUAGAAAUAGAAACCCAACACGCCUUCCAGAAAAAACCAAAAAAGAAACCCAACAAAAUUAUUGAAGGCUUGCUGUAAAAUCCUAUGUUGAAGCUAAACGUCAAACAGACAAGGACAAAGAAAAUAUGGCCGGUUUUGACUUUUUUUUUAAUAUAAAAGCACUCCAAAAUUUCGAGAGAAAACAUCUACUUGUAAGCUAGGGUUUUUUGGUUCCCUUCUCUUAAAUCAAAUGUUGUGUCAUCAAUAGAAAUAAGCACGUUAAUCAACCCUUGAAUAAUAAUCCAAUCAACAACUUCCAUGUCAUUUAAUUUAACAUAUUUUGUCUACAAAUUUAGUCUUCUUAACAUUAUCCUUUCUAAAUUAUUAAAUUUGGUGUGCUUUUCUAAGUGUUAUUUUAUCGAAGUCUUACUUGUAAAAACAAAUAAUCUCAGAACCGGCCCUGGUCAGUACUAGCCAGUUCAGUUUUUAAUCUAAGCUACAAUUGUGGUUCGCUACUCACCUAUCAGUUCCUAUCAGUUUUUAAUCUAAGCUGCAAUGGUGGUUUGCUACGCAUCUAUUAAUUGUGGUUUGCUAUGCACGUAAACGGCUGGAGGAUUACAGAAGAAAUGAAAUUUUAUUGGAAGAAAUUGUAUUAGAUUGUGUGAAAGAUAAUUUAACCCUGUCGUCCACAAGUUGAAGACACGGGCUCACAACUAGAAAUCUGCAGAAGUAUUACAAAAAUGUAGGGAUGAACCAAUCUGUUGUUAUGAUAUUAUUCAAUAACGUCCUUCGGUUUCCCGCUCGCCAUUGUUUAUGCACCGUUGUCUGUAACCGGACACCUAUCGGGCUGCCUUACAAUGUAAAUUAGGUCUGCAGAGGUGCUGUACAUGUCCUGAUUCCGGUGCCAAGUCCAUAAAGCAUAAGUCUCGUUUUUCACCUGCAAGUCGCACAGAAAUACUUCUUAAUCCUGUAACCGCGUAAUUUUACACAAAUUGCAUUGGAUGGAUCUAUUUUUCUACACAAAUGCAGACAUUUUUCAAGUCGGCUUCGAGUAGUGUUUUUCUAAACAGCACUCAUCAGGAGUCGAGACCUUAGCAGUUGAUGCGGUCACAGAAUUACGAUUUCACAGUUUAAUGAAGUUCUAGUUUUGCAGCUCAACGUGGAUUCGGAAUAUUAGUUUCCAUGCAUGUGAAAAUGAACGUUCAUAGUACUAAAAACUGAAUGCAAUUUGUUAAAGAAAGACUUAAAUAUGAAAAUAAUUUAUCCGUAAUACUGUCAAGAGUUUGUGUUUUCAUAGCAAAGAGAAAAGGGAAGUACCUCUAGAAUCCCAUGGCCAAAGCUACUCUCUCGAUACGCACUGUAUUCAGGCUGCUUGUCCCAACAGAACUUUCCUGCUGCUGGGCCAUUUGUGAAAUUAAAUGCGCAGAAGCCGCCCAUAAACUUAUCCGAAGUUGUAGAUGGUUCUGGGCAGUUUCCGGGUUCAUCAGCAUGCGCAAUUGCCAUCUUCUCCCGGUUACCACCAUCACCAACUGUGAUGUAAACAGGGCCGCAGGGAUCCAAUGUGUAGUUAUACACUCGAUUUGACCUCUCGUAGGCGUGAACCUGUUUAUUAAUUGUUUCCAAACAGUCAGAAGUAACUCUCAUAUUUUUUCAACAGCUUGACAAAGCACAUAUAAUGGAAACUGUUAAUACCACUAAGAAUUCUGGAACGUAUUUGGGGACUUCAAAAACAAGUUCCUUUGCUCAAACUAAACACUUACAUGGCCGUUGAAGACGAUGUCAACACCAUACUUGUACAGUAUGUCUUCCAUCUCAACUUUCAUACAUUCCUCUUCUCUGUAAUGUGCCGUGUAGGUGCUGUACCAUGGUGGGUGCCAUGCUGCUACCAACCAAGGAGUCACAUUUCUGUCAACUUUAGCCAAGUCUUUCUCCAACCACUUGUAUUGAUCGUCUGUGAGAGAAAACCUAGUCAUCUUAGUAUGUCCCUAACUAAUAACCAUGCGAAAGAAGUGAAAAUUUUCUUUUUUGGGAAAGCAGAUGCAGUAACCUGAUUUGUGAUAGGCUGUGUAAGCACCGAGCAUUAUAAAGUGUAUCCCGCCUGCAUUGAAUGAAUAAAACAAUGUAGAUGAUGAUCCACUCUCGUUGGAGGGGAAUGCAAAUCGCGAACUAUAAGAAGCAAAUGUUCGAUUCCCAGCCUGUUCUUCGAUCUCAUGGUUCCCUUCUACCACCAUCAUUGGAACUUUAGACACUAGCGGCUGCAUAAACCUGAUAACAAACAUACCAUAAUUUUGCAAUUAGGUACGUUGUGCGAAAAAUGACCAGGUGCUCCCUCAUCAAAAUAAAGCACAGAAAAACUCACCUUCCCCAGUAAUCCCAACGAGGCUGAUAAGUUUCAUCAAUAGGAGUUUGCGAGAAUAAGCAAGAGUAGCAAUCAGACCCAGUGCCAUUUGUGAGGUACGUGUUAGCAUAAGUAACGUCCCCAACCAAUAACAUAAGAUCAGGUCCGUUAGCCAACAAGUGGUCGACCGUUGAUGUAGUAUUGUAUGUAAGGCCAAGGUCCCCAACCACAGCUAUUCUUCUGGGGUAACUCUUGGGACCGGAUACUGGCAUAGUCUUGAAAUAAGAUAUUUUGCUCAUAUCUGCAAUGUUAGGAUCUCCACAUUGAUACUGAUACAAAGUGUUGGGUCUCAAUCCUG